rnacentral:lncRNA from 13 species
AUUCCGUUCCUAGUGUGCUGACACCCUCCCCUUGCCUAACCUCGAAACCCUCCUUUUCUUCAAUGCCACUUCUGCGAAGCCUGCCUUUAACUUCUGUCUGAAAAUGGCCACUUUGCCCCCUGAUUUCUCAUUGCCUGUCUCUUUACCUGCCUGUUUCUUGUGAAUCUUAUGAUUCUCUCUGUAUUGUGUUGCAGACUGAAUGUUUACAUUCCCCCCAAACUUUAUACGUGGAAAUCCCAAACCCCAGUGUGAUGAUAUUUGGAGGUGGUGCCUCUGGGAAGUAAUUAGGUCACAAGCGCAGAGCCCCCAUGCAUGAGAUGAGUGCCCUUGUGAGAAGAAGUUAGAGGACUGCCUUCAGCUCUCCUCCACGUGGGAGCACAAUGAAGGCAGAAAACUGCCAACCAGGAAGCAGCUCUCACCAGACACUGGGUCAGCUGGUGCUGUGACCUUGAACUUUCCUGCCUCCAGAACUGUGAAGAAUAAAUUCCUGUUCUUUAUAAGCCACCCAGUCACAGACAAAAGUCUGUGGCAUUUUGUUAUAGCAACCCAAGUCGACUAAGACUUGAAGUGGUUUGGGUUUAUAUCUAAUGAUAUUUUGUGGUUUCCUAAAAGAAAACACUCAUACCAAGAUAUUUUUAUGGAAACUAAGAGGAGGGGUGUCACUUAGAAGAGCCCACUGCUACAGCCAUGCCUUGGGUCUCUGUGUGCUGAAUCCCUGCUUGGCCAGCUUCCUGGAGGUCUGAUUAACGGGAUGUUAUCAACAUAGUGCUCCAGUGUGGUGUUCUACGGACUGUCCCUUCUGGUUAUAUUGUAACGGAGAACAGGGUUAGCAUAGCCCUGCCUUAAAUGUCUGCUGUUCAUCCAUAAGAAUGCUAACUGCUUCUGAAUCUCUUUUGUGGUAAGUGUUAAAAAAAUGCAUUUUCACAACUCACAAGGAACGUAAGAGACCUCUUCAAGGAGAACUACAAACCACUGCUCAACGAAAUCAGAGAGGACACAAACAGAUGGAGAAACAUUCCAUGUUCAUGGUUAGGAAGAAUUAAUAUCGUGAAAAUGGCUAUACUGCCCAAAGUAAUUUACAGAAUCAACGCUAUCCCCAUCAAGCUACCAUUGACUUUCUUCACAGAACUGGAA